rnacentral:misc_RNA from 1 species
CUGUUCGAGCGUCAUUAUGACCACUCACGCCUGGCGUGGUGUUGGGGCACGCGGUCUCGCGGCCCUCAAACCUAGUGGCGGCGCCGGUUGGCUCUAAGCGUAGUAAAACUUCUCGCUUUAGGGUCCCGCCGGUGGCUCGCCAGAACCCCCAACUUCUCAAGGUUGACCUCGGAUCAGGUAGGGAUACCCGCUGAACUUAA